rnacentral:lncRNA from 1 species
UUUGUUUAGUCAAUUCAAUCCGAAAGAACUAAGAGCAGAAGACUUAUUUCAAGCAAAUUAGAAAUAAAGAUGGAUAAUUGAUGAAUUAUAAUUAAACUAAUUAGAAUAUAGAAACUAAUACUCCCUUCGUUCCAGGAUAAAAGUCCUGGUGGAUUUUACACACAUAUAAACAAACAGCAUGCUGCAAAGAUCCUAAUCGAACUAGGCUAGAAACAGGGAGUAGUCAGGCUGAAAAACUCAAAACUAAGCGCUUAUUGGGAGGCAACCCAAUUUUCUUGUUAUUUUAUAGUAUAUUAGUUCAUGUUAUUUGAUUCUUAGUUUAGUCAAUAAUGUUAGUAUUAUUUAGUUCAUUUCUGUACAAUUUGUAUUUAACUAGUUAGCAAUUUUUAGUAAUUUUAAACUUUCAUGCUCAAACUCCAUGUACUUAUCUUAUAUUUUUGGUUUCAAGUACUAUUGAUGAAGUAUUACAUGCUUACGGGGCAAAGUAACUGAAAAACUGGAGUUUUGCCAAAAAAAGGACCCCCACCCCGGCGGGCCUAUUCCUCGCCUGACACAUCCGCCGCGAUGGGCCUUUUUAGGCUAAUUACCCCCGCCCCGAUGGGGGUACGGGUUUUCAAUUUUUAAAAUAACACUUGAAGAACGUGUUUCCCCCACUUCUCCUCUACCAAAACAGAAGCCUAAGCCACUUUUUCCCCCACGAAAGCCCCCAUACUCCCUUAUUCUCCACCGAAUCCGUCCCUCAUUGUCAUUUUAUAUAAACCUAACCCCAAAUUCAUCCAUCCCACACCCAUUACACAUCAAAUCCUUCGAAUUUCAGUCACCAAAAACCUAGGGUUCAUCACUGUUCGGAUUUGCAGCAAAGAAAAGGAAGGAAAGUUGAAAUUGGUAAACCAUCACUGCAAUAUCAUCACCAAUUGAGGCAAUUCAGUGGGGUAAGCUAAUAUCUUCAGUCUUUCAUCAUAGUUUGGAAUUCAGUAAUCAAUUUUGUGGUUUUGUGAGGGUGUGCACAUCAAGUGUUUGUGCAACUGUCCAAGACAAGUUUUGGGGAUUAAUUGACAGAAAUUGUGAGGAAUGACACCAAAGACUCCUGUGAAACGCCAAAGGGGCGAAGGUUCAUCACUACCUGCUCGCAACUAUGAUAAACGAAAGUUCAUGAGUGCCAGUGCAACUGAUAAAUACGACUAUCUCACGCCCAAAACACUAACACCGGAGAGGGGUUUGAGACCCGAUGCUUUUGAUGGACAGAUGCAGAGGUAGAUUCAUGAACAAGGGUGGGAGGUAUUCACUGACGAUCCGGACCCUGCUCUUAUGAAUGUGGUCAAGGAGUUCUAUGCCAACACUGAGGAUAUGGCACCAUAUGUGGCAUUUGUGCGGGGGAAACAAGUGCCCUUCAGUCCUGUAGCAAUCAAUGAGUAUUACAUCGUCUGAGCCCCUGCAGUGUGCCAAUAUUUCCGAUUACAUAACAGUAACCAGAUUAUGAUCAGAUCCUCAUAGAGAUAUCCAAACCUGACACUGUUUAUGUAAGAACCUAAAUUUUUAGAAAAUAUUAAAAUAAGAAUUUAAUAGAUAAAAUUCUUAAAGCAUGAUGAUGGGUUCAAACCAGAAUAUAUAUAUGUGAUACGAGGUAUGUAUUAUUGUGUUACAUAAGGUAAUAUGAGCUAUGUAAUAAGUGAUAUUGUGUUUAAUAAAU